UGGGUGACACUGGUGCAGCCAGGCACACACUGUAUUGAAUGCUGACACAUGAUACAGGGACAACAGGAUCUAACAUUCGCUGCUAAAGGACAAGGCAGGCAGGACACACAGUGUGCUGCACAGAUAUGUGAGGGCAGCACACUACGUCUGCACUGUGAAUUCGACACUGUUUGGUAUUAAAAAAAAAAAAAGAUUGAAAAGAAAACGGGACAUACUGUAAUUCAAGAGUUUUGUUGCGAGCGUGAACAAAUUUGGUGGGUGAAUUGGUAUUGAUUCAGCUCCGUAACACUUGGAAGGACAAACUUGCACCUGGACUCAAUCAACGUUGAUUGGAGAGUGGCAACAUGCCCACAUGCACAUAACACAGCUGAUGGGACACACCAACCAGUUCUGCACAGGAGAAGUUAAUAAUCAGACUUCGCUCUUCCACACUAAUGCUUUCCCUUCGUAAUUUCAUAUCUAACUUGCAAAUAUCCAGAAGCUCGAAUAUGUCUCAUCACAUCAGUUGAGAGCUGAGCAGGAAGCCCCAACAUGAUCAAGACCUUUAAACUCUCAUUUUAGAUCCCUUGUCUGCAGACUUGCUGGCAUGCCGACCACAUGGCUCAGUUUUGGGAUUAUGUCAACGCCUUCAGCAGAUGCUAUUGCAUUACAUAAAGAGAUACGCCAUGCUGGAGAGCUUCCACUCACUCCUAAUGUGUGCAUUCUGGCCACAGGCAACAACUUCACAUCCAGUCCUAUCACUGACAUGGCAACCAAGGAUUCUGGGAGCCUUCCCAAAGCUGCGUUGCAUCACUUGUCAAAGGUUGCUGUUAUCGUUCCUCCUCACCACACUGGCUGUGAAGACAUCCUAAUGUGUCUUUACUGUCAGAGACUGGGGACACAAUCUACAGUCCUUAUUCUGCACACAGAAAAUGGAUUCUGAAGUUCAGCUUAAGAGCAGCAGAAUAAGAAUAGCAGCACAAAGAGGGACUCUCACUCUUCAGAAACCAGAACUUUGAAACAUACCCAGCGCCCACUUAAGUUGUCUGGCUCAGACUGCUGAAGCCUCACAUUCGCUGUGGAUGAACUCUGGAGUGCAUUUUAUUUAUUUUUUUUUUUGCACUUUGUCCCACAUCCCCUGCUGUACAUCAGAAUAGUGUUCUCCAAGGCCAUAUAGGUACAGACAGAUGGAACAUUUGAAGUGACUAUAUGUGCAUGUGAGUACUGCUUUCAGAUGGACUUUUUUUUAAAAAUAUGAACCAGCUCUCUGUUUAUAAGUAUAGAAAUGUUGUGUACUGGUUCACUUAGGCUACUUAAGUCAUUUGCUGGACAAGGGAAAAUAUGCAUAAUUAUGACUGUCACUCUUUCAAAAAACUAGUAAGAACUAACAUAUUUGUCAGAAUUAAUUUAAAGACAAUCUUGGAACCCACUGGCUAUUGUCUGAUCAUUGGGGCAGUGGCCGGUAUUUCAGAGUUCCAGUGUAGCUAGUAGAUAUGCAGGCCAAGACUUCCUUUGUGGUAUGCCGGUCAUUGUUUACAGUUGGAUUAGUACUGUUGGAUAUCUGCACAUAAAUGCAGAUGAUUUAGGAAAAAGCCAACAAAAUGCUAAAUCGUCAAUUGCAUUCGGCCAAAGCAUUCUGCCUCUUUUGCUCUCCACAUGGACUGUUCACCUGCAAACAACCACAGCCUGCUUAAAUGUGAUUGGUCAAGAGUACUUGGUAAGGCUGCACAAUAUAUUGAAAAUGAACCUUCAUCGCAAUUUCAGCAUGUACAAUAUAGGUAUCCCAAAAGAUGGCUUGAACUGCGAUAAAUAGUAUAUUUACAUGUGCCGUCAUUCAGACGCUGCAGGUCAUGUAGAAACAGUGGCGUCAGGUGACUUUAGGUUUACUAGUUUUGAAAGUAUUACUCAUGUCACAGAAACAGCUGAGUGUGAAACUUGUGUUUGGAUGUUAUUAUCAUACUGUCCGUGAUGUAUCGGUGUUUUUGUUCUGGUGCUCUGCAGAGAUGUGACUCCUGUCUGCCGGCCCACCUGUUCCCAUCCCUCUAUAGCUCAGUAGCGGCAGGGAGGCACAGAGGUCCCCAGGGACCACCGGUAUACAAUAACCUUGUAUAUAAGGUUCAUAAAAUACACCCAAAUUCAAGAAUAUGUCGGAUAUUACAGACAUUCCUGUUAUCUUAACAUCAAAAUGUCUGCUGUGACAGCAGAUGCUGUUUUCACUCAUGUCAGUGACGAUGGAGCUUUAUCGUUCAGGGGACGCACCUUGUUUUUUCCUCUGAUAAUGCUACACUGUGAUAAUGUGGAUGAUCGAUACCGGACUGGCUCAUAUUGAUGAUGACUCGAUGAUGUUUUACACGUCCAGGGGAUGCUCCGUGCUGAAAAUAAUUUCAUCGUAUAGAUCAUAUCUCACGCAAGAUCAGUUUUGUUGUUACUUUUUGUUUUAUUCAUAGUCUCGGUAAGUGAAAAGAAAACAUUACAUUGUUAUCAGAAUAAAGGAGUAUCAAAAUGUUUAACUAAUUAAUACAAUAAUUUUUUUAAAUGCUCAUUGAUUAUCCAUAGAAAUUCUUUUCUAUGGGAUUAUCACAAUCAUAUAUCACAUUCACAUCUGUCUUGGGGAGAGGAUUGGCUCUCUCUAAACUCAGCUCAAGAUGUCACAUUUGUAUACUGUUCUGUACAAAGACUGUAUGUG